GACGAACGCUGGCGGCGUGCCUAACACAUGCAAGUCGAACGAAGCACUGUAAACGGAGAUUCGUCAAAGUUUGCUUUGACUUAGUGGCGGACGGGUGAGUAAUGUAUGAGCAACCUGCCUUUCAGUGGGGGACAACAGUUGGAAACGACUGCUAAUACCGCAUGAUGUCAAUUGGGGGCAUCCCCGAAUGACCAAAGGAUUUAUUCGCUGAAAGAUGGGCUCAUAUCUGAUUAGCUAGUUGGUGAGGUAACGGCUCACCAAGGCUGCGAUCAGUAGCCGGACUGAGAGGUUGAACGGCCACAUUGGGACUGAGACACGGCCCAGACUCCUACGGGAGCAGCAGUGGGAAUAUUGCACAAUGGGGGAAACCCUGAUGCAGCGACGCCGCGUGAGUGAAGAGUAUUCGGUAUGUAAAGCUCUAUCAGCAGGAAGAAAUGACGGUACCUAGACUAAGAACGCCCGGACUAAC
rnacentral:rRNA from 1 species